CUAAAGCAGAAAGGCGUCUGACAGGGACACCGGCUGGCGAUCGUUGUGUCUGGUCAGAAGAACCUGGCAAACAGGGAGCGAAGCUGCUCUGUGUACUGCUUCAGGGCUUCUGGGACCUUCUUCAGCCAGCACUCUGUGAAAGGGCUGAGGCCCAGAAUACUGGGCUCAAGGUAGACCAUACCGCAGCGAGACACUGUGGCUGGAGAUGCCACCGCCAAGUCUUGAACCUCAAACAUCAUGGUCAUCACCUGCAGAAGGAAGACACAAAACAUUUGGAAAAGAUCGGACACAAUACCGUUGAAGAGCUUCAGGUCGUCCUGUAAGAACUUUGGCACAUUGACAUCUUGAAUGGCCCGCAGACAGAUCAGCUCCUGGGAGACAGUGAGAUGGAAGAAGAAUAAGAUAAUAAAAUACAGUUCUUUUUUAAACUCCAUUCAAAAAUAGUGUCAUGUUUUAUA